rnacentral:rRNA from 1 species
AGUGAACGCUGGCGGUAGGCCUAACACAUGCAAGUCGAACGGCAGCACAGUAAGAGCUUGCUCUUACGGGUGGCGAGUGGCGGACGGGUGAGGAAUACAUCGGAAUCUACUUUUUCGUGGGGGAUAACGUAGGGAAACUUACGCUAAUACCGCAUACGACCUACGGGUGAAAGCAGGGGAUCUUCGGACCUUGCGCGAUUGAAUGAGCCGAUGUCGGAUUAGCUAGUUGGCGGGGUAAAGGCCCACCAAGGCGACGAUCCGUAGCUGGUCUGAGAGGAUGACAAGCGAAAGUGGGAAUGAGAGAACGCCGAGAAGCAGAGGGGAGGCAGCAGGCGGGAAUUGUGGAAAAGGGGCGAACGCCGGAUCCAGCCAUGCCGCGGGAAGGAGGAAGGACGUCGGGUUGUAAACUGCUUGUGUACGGAACGAAAAGCCUCCUCCUAAUAAAGAGGGGUCAGGACGGUACCGUAAGAAUAAGAACCGGCUAACUACGGG